rnacentral:lncRNA from 1 species
GCAGGUGAUGAAAGAAUUAAAAAUCCGAGACAAAGAAAGAGCUAGGAGGGUCAAAACUUCAGGAGCCCUGCUUUCCUGUCUCCAGUCCUUGAUCUGGCUGAAACUGUGCAGAAGUGAAAGCAAGGGCCUGUGACAGGUGACUCUCUCACAGUUCUUUCUGCAAGAGACCAUCUGACUCCUGCCACCAGUGUGACAAAGACCACAUGGAGGUCUGGGCUGAAAAUCAGAUCACCAGCCUCUAGCAGGCCUCUUCUGGAACUGAUUGCAAGGAGUGAAAUGGACUAAUUUUAGAAUAAGCAACUCUACUAUGGAACAUCUGAAAAAAAAAGAGCACUUUUUAAAUUACAGCAAAAUAUUUUUUGAUAUAAAUUUGUGUCUGGCUUCCGCAGAAAACAGUAGACACAUAUAAGGUUUUGCUCCAAGAACAGACUGGACAAAUGAAAUGACAUAUAUAUCCACAAGGGACAUGUUUUUAAGGCAGUUGUCAGAGGAGAAAGAGGAGAAGCAUGUGGAAGGAGGGCUUCCUGAUGACUAAAUUAUAUGUAUGUUUCUGUAUGUCUCAUUUCAUGGGAACUACCUCUACUUUCAAAUGAUCAUUUCUUCCCAACAUUUCAAUCUAUAUAUCACUUCUCUUUGUAAUGAAAAGCAUGUUACUUUUCUAACUUUUAGCCUAAAUACUAAGAAAUAAAAAUUUAUUUAAUGAUCCAUUAGACCCACUUAUUUCUGUAUAGUGGCACCAAAGAGAUAUUUUAUAGAACACAUAGUUCUGUUUCUUAUGCCAUUAAACACAGGAGGUUAUUAUUAAGAACAGUAAUACUGAAAAAGUUUGUUGAGUGCAUACUAUAUGCCAGACAAAUG